rnacentral:rRNA from 1 species
AUUGAACGCUGGCGGCAGGCCUAACACAUGCAAGUCGAGCGGAUGAAGGGAGCUUGCUCCUGGAUUCAGCGGCGGACGGGUGAGUAAUGCCUAGGAAUCUGCCUGGUAGUGGGGGAUAACGUCCGGAAACGGGCGCUAAUACCGCAUACGUCCUGAGGGAGAAAGUGGGGGAUCUUCGGACCUCACGCUAUCAGAUGAGCCUAGGUCGGAUUAGCUAGUUGGUGGGGUAAAGGCCUACCAAGGCGACGAUCCGUAACUGGUCUGAGAGGAUGAUCAGUCACACUGGAACUGAGACACGGUCCAGACUCCUACGGGAGGGAGCAGUGGGGAAUAUUGGACAAUGGGCGAAAGCCUGAUCCAGCCAUGCCGCGUGUGUGAAGAAGGUCUUCGGAGUGUAAAGCACGUUAAGUUGGGAGGAAGGGCAGUAAGUUAAUACCUUGCUGUUUUGACGUUACCAACAGAAGAAGCACCGGCUAACUUCGUG